AUUGAACGCUGGCGGCAUGCCUUACACAUGCAAGUCGAACGGUAACAGGUUAAGCUGACGAGUGGCGAACGGGUGAGUAAUACAUCGGAACGUGCCCAGUAGUGGGGGAUAGCCCGGCGAAAGCCGGAUUAAUACCGCAUACGACCUAAGGGUGAAAGGGGGGGAUCGCAAGACCUCUCGCUAUUGGAGCGGCCGAUGUCAGAUUAGCUAGUUGGUGGGGUAAAAGCUCACCAAGGCGACGAUCUGUAGCUGGUCUGAGAGGACGACACGCCACACUGGGACUGAGACACGGCCCAGACUCCUACGGGAGGCAGCAGUGGGGAAUUUUGGACAAUGGGCGCAAGCCUGAUCCAGCCAUGCCGCGUGCGGGAAGAAGGCCUUCGGGUUGUAAACCGCUUUUGUCAGGGAAGAAAUCCUUUGGGUUAAUACCUCGGGGGGAUGACGGUACCUGAAGAAUAAGCACCGGCUAACUACGUG
rnacentral:rRNA from 1 species